rnacentral:lncRNA from 1 species
UUUAUUUGGAAGCAAUUAGAAGGUUGAAGGGUUUUUUCGGGGAAAAAAAAGACAAAAUUGAGGGUUUUUUAGGGAAAAAUGAAAAAUACAAGGACUUUUUCAGGAAAAAGAAAAUAAAGUUGAGGUUUAAUCCGGAAAAAACACAAAAUAUAUAAGGUCUUUUAUGAGAUUAACCCUGAUUAAAAUAUAAUUUUGAGAUUAUAAUUUUCUUUUGAGAUUUUACAAUGAUUUCUUUUGUUUUAUUGUUUAAUUUUGUAUAUAAGUUUUUUUCAAGUGGUAAAUAAACUUUUUUGGCUAUUUGAAAUACAUAUAAUACAUAAUUUCAAAUGACAUAAAAUACGUUUAUAUACACAAUUUGUUUAACAAUAUGUUUUCUUUCAUUAAACUUUAAUUUUACAAAAUAACAAUUUUUUGUUUACUUUGUAAUCAUCCAUUCCAUUCCUUUGUAGUUAUUUUCCAUCAUGAGGUAUCAUAUUU